UACGGAGGGGGCUAGCGUUGUUCGGAAUUACUGGGCGUAAAGCGCACGUAGGCGGACUACUAAGUCAGGGUGAAAUCCCGGGGCUCAACCCCGGAACUGCCUUUGAUACUGAUAGUCUCGAGUCCGGAAGAGGUGAGUGGAAUUCCGAGUGUAGAGGUGAAAUUCGUAGAUAUUCGGAGGAACACCAGUGGCGAAGGCGGCUCACUGGUCCGGUACUGACGCUGAGGUGCGAAAGCGUGGGGAGCAAACAGG
rnacentral:rRNA from 1 species